GACGACCAGUACCACAGAACACGGACUUUAUACCACACAGAUUUUCGCCAUGUCCAUCGUUACCUGCUUGUGUUUGUGUGGUUUCCUGGGAGUUCUGGUGUCAGCUUUACCGGUACAACAACAGUCUGUCGCGGACUGGGUAGAUCCAGUUGCUGAGGCACCAGGCCAGAGCUUCAUUCCCAAACCAGAUGGACAGCAAAAUCAAAACCGCGUGUCACAAGCAACUUCAGUUGGGAAAAGAAAUCUGAGACGCAUUGGUU